GUGCCGCUGCUGGUGAACGCGGGUUAGGCACCCUCGUUACUUGUUUUUUACACCUGAAAACAUCCAGGAAAUAAUUUCUAAUCUCGAACGUGACAUUAUUCGAUUUAACAAGGCUUCGGUUUUUUUUUUUUACAACUUGCGUUUUUUUUCCGUUCGUUGGUUCGUUACUUCGGCACCGCGCAACCAUGCGUUGUGCAAACUUGUUCCCCGUCAACGAGCGGCUGUUUUACGUGAUACAAAAUUGACAACUCGUCGAGGGAAAAAUCGUCGUUUUAAUAAUUAAUACUCGUCUACACCGUGCCUGAGUUUUUCCACCGCGUGACGGCACGCGGUAGAUUAAUCGUCACAUAUACGAAACAUACGAUAAUACACGGUUGUACGAUUCGUUGUGGUACAUUUUUCACGUAAAUACGACAAGGUAUUUUUUCCUUCUUCCUUUUUUUUUCACAUCGCAAUUCCAUACUUCGUCGCUACUGCGGCUGCUACUGGUGCUACUUUUUACGACGAAAACGUCAAGAAGAGAUCCCAACCUUCAUUUGUCGGGGUUGGGUCCGUAGCAACGUGGAACCUCAUCUGCAGAUCCUUCUCAAAGACGUUGAUAUCGGAAAGUAAGAAAAACCCAGACGGGACACGGAGAUUAGUGUAUGUAAAUAUUACCUCAAGAGUUCUGCAAGGUAGCCGCAGUUACAAAUCUCCUACGUUCCACGUUCGCGAUGAAACUUAACCUCUAUACGACGAUUGAUACGCACUGUGCAGCGUAGAACUGUGCUAAACAUGGAUUUAGUCGGGGUUGAAAAUUAAAAAUAGGACUACAAACACUCCUCAAUUCCAGUAUCUCUUCUUUCAUUUACGAUUCAUCUUUCCCGAAUUAUUUCUCGGUAAAUUAAAUCCAAACGACACGUAGAACGAAAGAAACCAAAACAAACGAGUAAUGACGCAUUAUUGAUACCGGUAAUAGUAUACGUAACAUAGCUACGAGUUCGUCUUGAUUCACCUGUAUUAUUGUUGUUCGUAAUACAUUUACCCGAACGUACACCCCCCUCCCUGUCCCCUCUCCUCCUCUCCUCUUCCUCCUGUCCCACUCCCGCAGUUUAUAAUCGACAACCCCAAUCGUCGGUCACAGCUGUGGAAACCUGCGUCAACGUGAAGUGCGUGCCUGUGUGUUGUGUAUAAUGACGAAUCUCGUUUGAGUGAAUAAUAGUAGGUGUACGAAACCCUCGUGUUGUACGCAAAAUUUGUUAAUUAAAAUAUGACAUACCUCGAUCGUUCGAAUGUGUAUAAUAAGAAUAAUAAAUAAAUUUAAAAAAGAAAUAAAAAGACAAAGAAAAACAAACGACGAGUAAGAACCAGUUUUUAAAACAAUAACAGCAACAACAGCAACAACAAAAAUAACGUACACGUGAAGAAAGAAAUUAUUCUCGGGGCAACGGGGCGACGAGAAGACAACAACAAACGGAGGUAAACCAGGAACUCGAAGCGAGGCUCGUGAAUCGUGUAGCAUAGACGGAUGAUAACAGAAUGCUUGGAUGUGAAUAAGAAAGCGGAGGAUUGAUCGUUAAAUAGCAGUGGGGUUAAAAGUGCGGGGGGCAGGAGGGUCCCGAUUGGUGCAGGUGUGCUGCCAGCGGUGCCCGGGUUCCUGCCCGGUGGCGAGGGGGAGGUUGUGGUGCGAGUGGAGAGCCCCGACGAGGAGAGUCCUGUGGUUUGUGAUGAGGUUCAGCCCCCCGGAGGGGUCAAGAGCUGGAGCAGAGAGCAGCCCCUCGGCAGGGUGGUUGUGAGAGGAUCCGCCCGGGUGGCGAGGGGCCGGGCCGUGGAGGAGGCCGGGAAAGGAUGGUGUGACGAACGGCGUCAUCCUCCCCGAGGACGCGGAGGCCUCGGCGAAGGCGAGGAGCUGUAUCUCGACUCGGAGGACGAACUGGCGAUGUCGAGACAGUCUCGCGCCGAUCGAGACCCCCGCGAACCCCGAGAGCACCGCGACUCCCGCGACCAGGGACACCUUCACCAGCGUCCCAUCCUCCAGCGCGACGACCGCGAUUACACCGAGUACGACCUCCAUCCCACCUCCGCUGCAUCAGCUGGACCCGCCGCCGCCAAUGCCGUUGCCAACAACCCGGGCUCGGCAGACUCCAACUACUCGCAGCCAAGCUCGGAUCUAUCGUUGGACGAAGAAAAGGAGAGCCUGCGUCGGGAGAAAGAAAGACAAGCUCUUAACCAACUGGAGAAAGCAAGGACGAAGCCGGUAGCGUUCGCCGUCAGGACGAACGUUAGCUACGACGGAUCCGUCGACGACGACUCACCGGUUCACGGAUCGGCCGUUAGUUUCGACGUCAGAGAUUUCCUCCACAUCAAGGAGAAGUACGAUAACAAUUGGUGGAUAGGGAGGCUGGUAAAAGAGGGAUGCGACGUCGGUUUUAUUCCUUCGCCGGUUAAGCUCGAGGCACUUAGACUUCAGGCAAGCGCUGCUCGCGGCACUAAGGGUCUCUACUCAGCAAGGGGUGGCUCUUCAGGAAAUCUCGGUGAAAGUGGGAUGCCGUCACGAGGAUCGACGCCGCCAACGCCAGGUGACGAUAGUGACAGCGUGGGUAACGUUAGGCCGGGAAAAACGACCCUCACAACGCCGCCGGCGAAAGAAAAGCGAAAGAACUUCUUCAAGAAACCGUCUUACGAGACCGCCACACCGUACGACGUCGUUCCUUCAAUGAGGCCCGUAGUUCUUGUCGGUCCUUCCCUGAAGGGUUACGAAGUCACCGACAUGAUGCAGAAAGCGUUGUUCGACUUUCUGAAACACCGCUUCGAGCGCAGGAUCAUUAUAACGAGAGUUAUGGCUGAUAUAUCGCUGGCCAAAAGAUCUUUACUAAAUAACCCUACGAAACGUGCUAUAAUGGAAAGAUCGACCAGCAGAAGUAGCUGUCUUGCGGAGGUUCAGGCUGAAAUAGAGAGAAUUUUUGAACUCGCGAGAACGCUCCAACUAGUGGUUCUGGACUGCGACACGAUAAACCAUCCUUCGCAGCUCGCGAAGACGAGUUUGGCACCGACGAUUGUCUACUUGAAGAUAUCGUCGCCGAAAGUGCUCCAGAGGCUGAUUAAAUCCCGGGGUAAAUCUCAGGCCCGGCAUCUGAACGUGCAGAUGGUCGCGGCGGAGAAACUCGCCCAGUGCCCGCCGGAAAUGUUCGACGUUAUCCUCGACGAGAACCAGCUCGACGAGGCCUGCGAACACGUUGCCGAAUACCUCGAAGCCUACUGGAGAGCCACUCACCCCCCUGUCGCCACCCCAGUUCCUAGGGUCAUGCCGGCUCCUGACGCCCCCGUCGACACUCUCGCGCCCCGCGUGACGCCAGUACGGGGAAAGAAGGACGAAGAUCUUGGCUACGGGAGGUGGAUUAGAAGAACGUGAAAACCAAGAACAUCUCAUUUUUUCUCUGAGUCAUUGUCGUAAAGAAAUUUAAUAACAGUUGAAUACGUCAAAUGGAAAUUUUCACGUUACUAACACCCUAAUAAUUUCUCUACCAUCAGGAGGUCAUCAUGAGAGCUACUAUGGUCAUGAACCACGAGGGUCCUCGUCUUACGGCGGUAGUCACGGCGGGACGGGAACGCGGCGCUCGAGAUUAGAGCGAUUGGACCGCGAACGAUCGGACCACGACUAUCCCGAAGAGGACAACU
rnacentral:misc_RNA from 1 species